rnacentral:rRNA from 1 species
UGGGAAGUCCUNGUGUUGCACCC